GGAUGUGAGGGUGAUCUGGCUGCAACACUUGUCACCCCAUGAAUCACUAGGGUUGAUUCAGUUGAUCUGGCUGGCUAGGUGGGUGUCCCCUUCCUCCCUCAAAGCUCCAAGUUAGGACUGCCUUCCUGAAUAGAGAUCUAGGGCAUACAAGAAGCUGCCUUCCCCUGCUAUAACCUCCAAACAAGCUUUCAAGGUCAAACAGCACCUCCAUAUUGUUCCCAUUGUCUUUUAUACUUUAGUCAACCAUGAAAAUCAUAAUCAUGGACUUUAUUAACUAUAAAAGUCUUGAGAU
ensembl:misc_RNA 7SK 7SK RNA